CAGUCGCCGCGGUAAUACGAAGGGGGCUAGCGUUGCUCGGAAUUACUGGGCGUAAAGGGCGCGUAGGCGGACAUUUAAGUCAGAGGUGAAAGCCCAGGGCUCAACCUUGGAACUGCCUUUGAUACUGGAUGUCUAGAGUGCGGGAGAGGUGUGUGGAACUCCGAGUGUAGAGGUGAAAUUCGUAGAUAUUCGGAAGAACACCAGUGGCGAAGGCGACACACUGGCCCGUAACUGACGCUGAGGCGCGAAAGCGUGGGGAGCAAACAGGAUUAGAUACCCGGGUAGUCCCUGUCUCUUAUAC
rnacentral:rRNA from 1 species